UGUGUAGGCGGCCUUCUAAGUUUGGUGUGAAAUCUCCCGGCUCAACCGGGAGGGUGCGCCGAAGACUGGGGGGGCUAGAGUGCGGGAUGGGAGAGUAGAAUUCCUGGUGUAGCGGUGAAAUGCGUAGAUAUCAGGAGGAAUACCUGUGGUGUAGACGGCUCUCUGGACCGCAACUGACGCUGAGACACGAAAGCGUGGGUAGCAAACA
rnacentral:rRNA from 1 species